rnacentral:rRNA from 1 species
GACGAACGCUGGCGGCGUGCUUAACACAUGCAAGUCGAACGCUGAACCACUUUCGGGUGGGGAUGAGUGGCGAACGGGUGAGUAACACGUGGGUAAUCUGCCCUGCACUCUGGGAUAAGCCUUGGAAACGAGGUCUAAUACCGGAUAUCACAAUCUCUCGCAGUGGGGGGGUUGUUGAAAGUUCUGGCGGUGCAGGAUGAACCCGCGGCCUAUCAGCUUGUUGGUGAGGAAUGGCUCACCAAGGCUUCGACGGGUAGCCGGCCUGAGAGGGCGACCGGCCACACUGGGACUGAGAUACGGCCCAGACUCCUACGGGAGGCAGCAGUGGGGAAUAUUGCACAAUGGGCGCAAGCCUGAUGCAGCAACGCCGCGU